rnacentral:ncRNA from 1 species
UCUGCCGAAGCUGUGAUGUCAAAAUGCAUCGGUAGGGGAGCGUUCCGCCUUAGAGGGAAGCAUCCGCGAAAGCGGGGGUCGACGAAGCGGAAGCGAGAAUGUCGGCUUGAGUAACGAAAACAUUGGUGAGAAUCCAAUGCCCCGAAAACCCAAGGUUUCCUCCGCAAGGUUCGUCCACGGAGGGUGAGUCAGGGCCUAAGAUCAGGCCGAA